rnacentral:rRNA from 1 species
UACGUAGGGGGCUAGCGUUGUCCGGAAUCAUUGGGCGUAAAGCGCGCGUAGGCGGCCCGGUAAGUCCGCUGUGAAAGUCAAAGGCUCAACCUUUGAAUGUCAGCGGAUACUGCCAGGCUAGAGUCCGGAAGAGGCGAGUGGAACUCCUGGUGUAGCGGUGGAAUGCGCAGAUAUCAGGAAGAACACCAACGGCGAAGGCAGCUCGCUGGGACGGUACUGACGCUGAGACGCGAAAGCGUGGGGAGCGAACAGG